CUAAGCUUAACUUUUUCCUUUGGCAUAGUGAGUCUGGGGACCCAAGAUCUUAUUUUCCUUUCUGUCACCCCCGCUUGGUUUUGGAUUCCGUGACAGCUGGACCCGGCUUCUGCGUGGGAAGAGUGUAUCACAGCCAUUGGGAACUUUCUUCACCCAUCAAAGCCUCAGGGCUGAAGCAUCCUGAACAAGAACUCAGGAGAGUGAAAGAAACAGUUACCUGUCGGCUGCAGCUGGUACCAGCUCCCCACCCCGUACAGAGACCGAAGCGUCCUCUCUCUCCCCAUCACCCAGCACCAGACUCUGCCCCGCGACCUCAGCCUGCACCUGCUUCCUGGCUCCAUCCAGCCUUCCAGCCUCACUAGAUCAUCAUGGGCCACUGGCCAACACACAGGGCAGUGCCGAGCCCAGGCCGUGGUCACACAUGGCUGGGUUAGUAGCUGAAAACAUUGUUUUUCACUGGCCUCACAGUAAUGGCACCUGCCCCCAUUUUCUGUGAUUGAAUUUUUGGAUCCUGCUACCAGGUUAUGAUAGAUUUUAUGGUAUGUCUCAAGAUAUUGAGAUAAAGGUAAUAAAACAGCUAUAAAGUCCUGGCUCAAGAAGUGUUACAAACCCAAGCAGGGUAAAUACAAGAAAACUGCACCCAGACACAACAUAGUAAAAUUGCUGAAAACCAAAGAUGAAUAGAACACUUAACAGUUGGAGGAAAAAAGCCACAUUACCUUCAUAAGGACACCAAUCACACUAACAUCUGACUUCGAAAUAGAAAUAUAAAAGCCAAACUACAAGGGAAUGUGAUCUUCAAAAUAUUGAAAGAAUUUAAUUGUUAAGUGAAAUAAUUAACUGCCAACCUAAAUUCUAUUCCUAGUGGAAAUACUCUCCAAGAAUAAAGGUGAAAUAAAUACAGACUCACA
rnacentral:lncRNA from 1 species